rnacentral:rRNA from 1 species
UACGUAGGGGGCUAGCGUUGUCCGGAAUCAUUGGGCGUAAAGCGCGUGUAGGCGGUCCGGUAAGUCCGCUGUGAAAGUCGGGGGCUCAACCCUCGGAUGCCGGUGGAUACUGUCGGGCUUGAGUACGGAAGAGGCGAGUGGAAUUCCUGGUGUAGCGGUGGAAUGCGCAGAUAUGAGGAGGAACACCAACGGCGAAGGCAGCUCGCUGGGACGGUACUGACACUAAGGCGCGAAAGCGUGGGGAGCGAACAGG